UACAUGGGGUGCAAACGUUGCUCGGAAUUAUUGGGCGUAAAGCGCGCGUAGGCGGUUACUUAAGUCGGAUGUGAAAGCCCUCGGCUUAACUGAGGAAGUGCACCCGAAACUGAGUAGCUGGAGUACGAAAGAGGGUCGCGGAAUUCCCGGUGUAGAGGUGAAAUUCGUAGAUAUCGGGAGGAACACCGGUGGUGCAGACGGCUCUCUGGACCGUAACUGACGCUGAGACACGAAAGCGUGGGGAGCAAACAGG
rnacentral:rRNA from 1 species